GCGAGCAGAGUGGCCGCCAUCUUGUCGACGCGCGGGCGCUUUCGCUCUUGCAAAGCGGCCGUAUUUCGUUUCAGUUCCCAGGCUUCCCAUAGUGGCAUCCGCGGAGAACGUUGAGCCGGCGCCGAAAAACGCGCCCUCCGCAAAUGGCCGCUCCUGGGUAGAUUGAUUUCUCCUGGUAGAAUGACAGGAAAAAGCCAGACUUUAAGUUUCCAACUCCCAGCUGUUGUACAGCCCACUUCAGUGGAUAGCCACGUAUAUCCAUUUGGGAACAAUCUUAGUUCUGACAGUGAUGUUUUGGAAGAUGAAGUUGAAAUAUAUGAACUGCGACCUCGGGGAAAAGAGAAAACUCGGAGAAGCACUUCAAGAGAAAGAAUGGAUGAUAUUGUGUUUAUAACUAAAGAUAUACAAGAAGGAGAUACAUUAAAUGCAUUAGCUCUUCAGUAUAGUUGUUCAGUAGCAGAUAUCAAACGGGUGAACAAUCUUAUCACAGAUCAGGACUUCUUUGCACUAAGAACUAUUAAAAUUCCAGUUAAAAAGUUCAGCCUUUUGACGGAGACACACUGUUUUCCAAAAAAUAGACAGAAUUCAAGAUCUGCCGCCUCUUCAUAUUCCACAGAAUUCUCAGAUUCAUCACUAGCACCUGAGUUGUUCUUGUCUACUGAAACAGCUGGUAACUUUUUGAAAGAAGUGGACCGUGAUAUAGAACAAAUAGUGAAGUGUAAUGCUACCAAAAGAGAAAAUCUUAAUGAAGUUGUUUCUGCUUUAUCAACCCAACAAUUGAACUUUGAACCAGAUGGUAAACCUGUCAGACAGAAAGAUCCUUAUUAUGGUGCAGACUGGGGAAUUGGAUGGUGGACAGCAGUGGUAAUAAUGGUGGUAGUAGGCAUUAUAACACCUGUUUUUUAUCUUUUAUACUAUGAAGUUUUGGUCAAAGUGGAUGUCAGUCAUCAUUCUACAGUGGAAUAUUCAUUAGUUGCACCAUCUCAGUCAAAGCCAUUAGAAAAUGAGAUAAAGCAGCCUAUUUCAUGACGAUUAAGUUUUGGUUUUACAUGCUAAAUGUCUGAGCAUUCUUGCCGUGUAUUCUGCAAAGAAGCAUGAACAUGUCCUGAGUGGAACUGUAAAGUGGCUAUCUCUGAUGGACUGAAAAGACUAUGAAAAGAUAACAUCAAGUUAAAGAAAAAACCUGGAGUAUUAAGAAAUUCCACUAAAACAAAGCAAUUAAGUUCAGAAUAUCAGCACACAGACACAUUUGCUACAUAGCAGCAUUCCUGCCUACUAGAUUUAUCAAUCUUCUGGGAGUUCAGUAUUCAAUUGUAACGCUAAAAGAAAAAUGUAUGUAUAUAGGAAUCUCAACUCAAGUCCUAUAACUGAAAAAUUCUCAAUUAUACUGAGAGACUGAAGAAUGUCAGCAUAAUACCCAAAAUAAUUCAUUAUAUAUUGUACUGGUGAGGAUAGAAGUGAAUGUCUCAUUUCUUUAUAGUAAACAAAAAGAAAAUCUAUGCCUUGGGCUCACAAUGUCUAGUUUUUAGCUUGAUGCAUUAAUCUGAGAUAAUUAUCUCUUUUGAAAGAUAAAUACUGCUGAAUGACAUAGUCCAUAGAUAUCCAACAGAAGACAUGAUAACCUCACAUGCACCAUUAGGCCUUUGAGCAAAUGACAUUAAGUAUGUAAUUUCUGUGAUGUGAUUGACAAAUUACAUAUUUUAUGUAAUUUGCAUGAUAAAAGUCAUGAUGCACGUGGCAUUAAUUCAAGAGGAGGUUGUAGAUGGGUAAUUAUCCAACACACUAAACCUAAGGAUGAUUUCUUGAGGAGACAGACUAUUAUCUUCAUAUAGGCUGAUAAAACCAGUGGUUUAACUUGUUGAAUUCAUGGCUACUUGUACUCAAUCAUAUUCCUAGAGAGGAUUAAUCAAUAAGGAAGGGCAUUGGUUUUAUAAACUGAUAGCAUAUUCAGAACCUGUCCAUUUCCUUAAGUGAAGCAGGGGGGCUCAAACUAACGUAAGUCAUACAAUACAGUGGUUUAAUCAGCUCCAUAGGCUGUGUAAUAGGAAUCAGAUCUGAGCAAUUUCCCAUCAGAUGUCUAAAAUAAUUGUCAUAGGAACCCUACAGAUGUUUUUCUGCUUGUUCUCUGGCCAGUAAUGAGUCAUUUUAAAGAGUACCACUGGCUAGCAUUCUGUAGAUACAAUAACAAUGGAAAAAUAAAGUUUUGCCACUCUU